rnacentral:rRNA from 1 species
AACGAACGCUGGCGGCAUGCCUAACACAUGCAAGUCGAACGAGACCUUCGGGUCUAGUGGCGCACGUGUGCGUAACGCGUGGGAACCUGCACUUAGGUUCGGAAUAACUCCCCGAAAGGGGUGCUAAUACCGGAUAAUGUCUUCGGACCUAAGAUUUAUCGCCUUUGGAUGGGCGCGCGUUGGAUUAGCUAGUUGGUAGGGUAAAAGCAUGCCAAUGCGACGAUCCAUGGCUGGUCUGAGAAGAUGAUCUACCACAAUGGGACUGAGACACGGCCCAGUCUCCGACGGAAAGCAGCAGUGUGGAAUAUUGUACGAGGGGCGCAAGCCUGAUCCAGCCAUGCGGCGUAAGAGAUGAAGGCCUUAGUGUUGUAAAGCUCUUUUACCCGGGAUGUUAAUGACAGUACCGGGAGAAUAAGCUCCGGCUAACUCCGUG